CAGUAGCCGCGGGAAUACGUAGGGUGCAAGCGUUAAUCGGAAUUACUGGGCGUAAAGCGUGCGCAGGCGGUUAUAUAAGACAGAUGUGAAAUCCCCGGGCUCAACCUGGGAACUGCAUUUGUGACUGUAUAGCUAGAGUACGGCAGAGGGGGAUGGAAUUCCGCGUGUAGCAGUGAAAUGCGUAGAUAUGCGGAGGAACACCGAUGGCGAAGGCAAUCCCCUGGGCCUGUACUGACGCUCAUGCACGAAAGCGUGGGGAGCAAACAGGAUUAGAGACCCGAGUAGUCCCUGUCUCUUAUAC
rnacentral:rRNA from 1 species